AUUGAACGCUGGCGGCAUGGCUAAAGCAUGCAAGUCGAACGGACCCGCAAGGGUCAGUGGCGAAAGGGUCAGUAAUACGAUCGAACGUACCCUGAGGUGUGGGAUAGCCGCGGGAAACUGCGGGUAAUACCACAUGUGCUCUACGGAGGAAGGCCGCAAGGCGCCUCGGGAGCGGCGAUCGUCCUAUCAGGUAGUUGGCGGGGUAACGGCCCACCAAGCCGAAGAC
rnacentral:rRNA from 1 species